GUAUGGAAGUGGGAGAGAACAUUUAGGGAAAAGAUUUCAAAGAGAUUACACGGAAAAUCUCCCAUAAGCACAAAAGGGCCAUUCAAAGUAAAAUAGAGAGAAGAAGAGCAUCCAAGUGAAUCCCAAAGCUUCCUCUCCAUCCGUGUGCUGUGAUGCAAAAAUAAAACUGUUCUCCCAAGUGCAGGAGAAUCGCACAAGUAAUAUAACUCGGGAGUCCGAGGUCGAUUCCUCAGGGAACGAUCUAUAGAUUAUUAGCGUAAUUUGUA
rnacentral:lncRNA from 1 species